UGGAGAUGCUGGGCCAUGGUUCCAUCUUCAGUGAUACAUACAAACUCUCACUCAUUUAUGUAGAAUGGGUGCAACAGUCUGAAGAAUGGAACAGGUUGUACAGACUAUCCAAGCUACAUACAGUAAGGGAUGUGCACUGAUGUGAACCUGCAACUCCACAAGUUUGCUUGCAACAACAAGUAGUACUAGAAGCCCAACCCCCUAAAGACAGAGCAAAAGACCCAAAGAUCCUUCUGUGCUUAACAUGAUAAAUUAGGAGAUGGUGCUGAGCUCAAAGAUAGACCUCUCACAAGACAUGUUGUAUACAAGAUAGUAUCCAGUCAUCGAGGUAACCAAGUCCUUAAGGCAACUGUACACAGGCAAAAAAAAAUGUCCAAACUUGAGGUGCUUAAAGUAGCACUGUUAAAAAGCAUAUUCUAACAUUUAGUGCAAAGUUAAAGAUUAUUGUUACCAUA